UAUUGCUAUUUUCAAUCCCAAUAAUUCUCCAUCCUACAACUGUAUCUGCGAUUCAUCAUCCCCAUUUAUAGUCUUUUUCUGAAUGGUGAAGUCCUAUCUCCAUUACCUUCCUCUUUCUCCAGUCUCGACCGACUAACUAAAUUCGAAAUCCCAAAUCGCACCACCACUGCCCGCUAGAAGACCGAUUCUGAAUCAGAAUUAAUGGAUUAUAUCACUUGCCUCUACAUCUGUCGCUCCUCACGACUGCUACCUAUCACCAUUGGCUUCUACGAUUUCAAUCAUUGAAGCCCUAAUGGUCCGAUGGUCCAGAGUCUCUCGUCACUGAAUCUCAACUCAAUGUUAUCCUUGUCGUGGCUCUGUGCCUGUCUAAAUGUCUAGAUUGUGCUGAUCUUCGUCCUAAAGUAGUGGUUUUGGAGUUCUUUCAUUCUAUUCGAACUUCAUUCUGUAAAUCGUUUUGGCUGCAAGCAUUUGGUACUGCUGUGAUUGCUUCGUUCUUGGCUGAGUUUUUGAGAUAUGUAUGCAAAGCGGCGGAAUCGUCGUUGGAUUUUGCAGCUGGGGUAGCUGAGUUAACGGGCGAGAUUGCGGUUUUUGCUAUCUGUAAUGGAGGAAGAGGAGAUUUGGGUAUUUUUAGGGAUUUUUUGAUUGCCCUGUUUCAAAACUUUCCUCUGAUUAUGGCUUCCGAUGCUGAGAAAUUGACUUCUUCACAAAGUUCACCUUUUAGUUCAAGCCAAACUUCAGAUCACGUUACCUUAACAGCUAUCUCUCAGACUAUCAUCUUUGGAGUUGUGGUUGAACUUGUGUCUGUAUGAAUUGAUUUGAACAAUUUCCCCAGCUUCAUUUUCUCUGCCCCAUUCUAUUUCUAAGGUUCAUGGAUUUGUUGAAGAUGUUAUGGGGAAAAAUGUUGCUACAAUAUUUGGAAAGUGGGAUGAAAGCAUGUAUUAUAUUAAUGGUGACAGGGGCAACAAUAUGAAAGAUUGUAGUUCCUCCUCUGAUACAUCAUUAUUUUGGAAAAGGACUAUGCCAACGGUUAAUCUCACUCGGUACAACUUAACUUCAUUUGCAAUCACUUUGAACGACCUAACGGAAGGUUUGCAGCUUUGUCUGAUCCCGGGUAUUUGAUCACGGAAUGAAGGAGAAGCUCCCACCUACGGAUUCCAGGCUUAGACCAGACCAACGACAUUUGGAGAAUGGAGAAUAUGAGAAGACAAAUGCUGAGAAACAACGUUUAGAGAAAAGGCAAAGAAUGUCAAGGAAAUUACAAGAAAGUGGAUGGAAACCACAAUGGUUCGAAAGAGAAGGUAAAGAUGGACCUUCCGCUACAUGGGUGGCUAUUGGGAGUCACGCGAGCGAGGAAAAUAGGAUGAAUGUCCCAACAUAUUUGGUGAAUUUGAUGAAGCUCUUGCUGAGAGCCCUUAAAAAACGUACUUAACUAGAACAAGAAGGCAUAUCAUGACACUCAUGAUCAUUCAGGUAAUAUCUAUCUCAUUCUUCUUUUCUCUUUCCUUGACUUAGACUACUUAUUUUUAUUCAACACUUCAUUAUAUAACAUAAAAUCAUAUCAAAUGGGGGCUGCAUUGCCUUUCACAAUUUGUAUUUAGUAAAGAAAAGCUCUACAGAUUAAAACCUAUUCCGGUUGUUUUUUUUUUAAAAAAAAUUAUUUCUUGAAUCGGUCCUUCUGAUCGGAGAAUUUGAAAUGAGAAUGAGAAUGCGAAUGAAUGCAGUUGACUGAAAAGAGGAAAAAGAAGAAAAAGAAAAAACUGACCUUAAAGUGGAAAUGUAAACAAGGAUUCAUCUUCUUCCUCUAACUACUACAAGUUGAUGAAGUUAGAUUAUAGUCUAAUAUAUCCUUUGUAACAACUUCAAAGAUUGUUAGAUUAUAGUCUAACAUAAUUAUCCAUGUAAUAACACCCUAUAUCAGUGUCUAAUGUAUGAGUGUCAUCAGCUAGCUUAUCAUCAUGUAAUGUAAUUCUCUUGUUCCCCUACCCCCGCUUUUUUUUUUCUUUAUUUUCUUCCCAAUAUAUAUUUUUUCUUGAUCUGUGCUGCUGACCCUUGUAGGUUCAGAAAACAUUGAUUUUAGUUUCACAUUUAUUUGUACUUUCUCUCUCUCUCUAUUGGAAUAAAAGAAGAAAUGUGUAUUCAUAUAAUUAUUGUUGUUUUUCUUUAUUGAACAAAUUAAAUUAUUAUUGUAAUUCUUGUAA